AAACAGCUGAAGAUCUUCUGCAGAAGUUUCAGAAUCAUUUUCCCAUGAACCUGCGAGGACAACAGAGAAAAGCCUUCAGUCAUGAAGACAAUUGUUUGUUUUGAGUCUUGCACUAUGAGUUCUUUAACAGCUCUUCAGAUAAAGUCUCUUCAGGUUUUGUCUUUGGUGAAGGAAAUGACACAUCAGAGAUGCUUAAAGGUCUGUGCAAGCCACUUACGAUAACUAUGAGGUUUUAAUAAUCGUUUGGGUUAGGAAAAGGAAUAGCGAGCUAUAGCAAUAAAAAUAUAGUUGUUUUUUUUUCCUCCAGCUUUCCCAUUUUUGUUGAAUAUACAAAAACAUGUGAAUUGGAUGUGUAUGUUUUUUCCCUGUCUGUCUGUGAAUGUUGUGAAUGGAUGGCCGAGUGGACGGUGUGAAUCCUCUUAGGGCAGGCGUGUGCAAUCCUACUCCUGGAGGGCUGCAGAUUUCAGCUUUAAUCCUAAUUAAAUGAAGCUCAACCAGCUAACAAAGGCUUUCAGGAUCACUGGAAACUUCCAAGGGAGUGCACGUCAAGCGGAUACAGCAGCAGGAACGCAAACAGGACCAACAGAAUCUCCAUCGACUCUUUCCCUCGGUCCACAAAGUCCCCGUUGAAGACGUAUGGCGUCUCCGCUGAAGGAAACCCAUUCUGUCGUGAAACAGAAAUCUAUUACUGGCACAUUCCAAUGCAAUCAACUGUGGACAUCAGAAUUUUACUGACUUUGUAAAAGACCAACAACAGAUCCUCCAGAUGGCCGUAUGGUGAUCUCUGUGUGUUUGCAGCUGCACACAUGACUGAUGUUGGGCAUCAAGCGCAGAAGCGUCCAGGUCUUGCCCAGCAGUUGCAGCACGUACCGUGCGUGAAGCUUCUACAGAAACACAUCUGCACUUAAAGACAGCAAGAUCUUCUCAUUGACGGAAGAUAAAGACUGAAAGGAUCGUACUUGUUUGUUUUUGAAGGCGUCCACCAGCUCUGUGACAGUGGAGACGGUCAGUGGGAAGGAGAGAUGUGGGCCGGCGUAGACGUCUGGAACCUCGAUGUCCUUGUAACAGAACUGUCUCUCCCACUCCACGUCCUGAAACACGUCACUCUCGCGAAACAUCUGCGAAACCAGAUUCCCUGAGAGAGAUGGAGUCGGUUACGCCGAUCACUUCAUGAGACGAGACAAAGUCGAAGAGCUCUAGAGUUUCUUACUUUGGCUGCUGGCAGAAGUGAAAUGAUCCAUCAGGUAACCGAAGAAAUUAUACAGCUGCGGAGACACAAACAGCACAAGCAUCUUUCACAUGUAAAGACACAGAACGCAGAUACUAACUCUUGAAAGAUUGUGGUCAAUUACGGCUUAAAAGAACAUGUAACCCGAGAUCAGUGUCUGAAGUUUCUAUGACUGUAAGUCUGUGCUUCAUAUCUGUAGAGAACAUCAAUGUUUCCAACCUUGAUAUGAUCCUGUUGUCCAGAAUACUCUAUAGACUGAAAGAUGUUCCAGGUGCAGCGGCGUCGCAUCUCCAGCCGGGCCGCGUACUGACGAUACCAGCGCUGGAUGAGCAGAGCCGCACGCAUUGCUGGACAGAUGGAUGAAGAGAGAGAGACAGAGAGAGACAGAGAUAGAGAGAGAGAGAGAGAGACAGACAGACAGACAGACAGAGAGAGAGAGAGACAGACAGACAGACAGACAGACAGACGAAUGGACGGACAGAGAGACAGACAGAGAGGGAGGGAAUCAGGUCAGCAGCAGAUGUGAGUGACAGUGAUGAUUAUUCUGAAACAUGUAAUCUGACUGACCUGUAGCGGCUGCAUGUGAGAGAAACCAAGAAAAAUAAAGUUUUUGAUGUUCAUUCAUAUUCAUUGACAACAAUGAGACAUUUACUGAAAUAAAUGAGGAAGAAUUACCUGGAACUGAGAUGCUCCCUACAGACAAACAGAGACAGACAGACAGACAGACAGACAGACAGACAGACAAACAGAGACAGACAGACAGACAGACAGACAGACAGACAGAGACGGACGUGAGCUGUAUCUCUCAGAAAGCAUUCGCUGGCAGAUAUGAAUGCUUGAACAGCGUCAGACUUGAAUAAUCUUGUUCACGCACCUGGAUCGCAUGCUUUCAGCUGCUGUUGGUUUGAUUUUGUGACUCUGCAUCCCAUAUCAGUAUCGCACUGUUGAUCCAAUCACACACAUAUCACAACAACUAAUUCCAGUAAUACUUGUAGUCUGAAUUUCACUUUUAAACAAAUGUGAAUAAUAAAUGUUGCAUUUCAUUUAAUGUUCUCUGAA